rnacentral:misc_RNA from 1 species
GAUGAAGAACGUAGCGAAAUGCGAUAAGUAGUGUGAAUUGCAGAAUUCAGUGAAUCAUCGAAUCUUUGAACGCACAUUGCGCCCUUUGGUAUUCCAAAGGGCAUGCCUGUUCGAGCGUCAUUUGUACCUUCAAGCUUUGCUUGGUGUUGGGUGUUUGUCUCGCCUUUGCGUGUAGACUCGCCUUAAAAUAAUUGGCAGCCGGCGUAUUGAUUUCGGAGCGCAGUACAUCUCGCGCUUUGCACUCAUAACGACAGCGUCCAAAAGUACCUUUUACACUCUUGACCUCGGAUCAGGUAGGGAUACCCGCUGAACUUAAGCAUAUCAAUAAGCGGAGGA